UCCGAUAUGGUGUAGUGGCCAACAUGAUGCCCUCUCAUUGCUGUGAGAGGUUAGGCAUAGCCCCGAGUUCGAUUCUCGGUUUCGGAA
rnacentral:tRNA from 1 species